GAUGAACGCUGGCGGCGUGCUUAACACAUGCGAGUCGAACGGUGAACACGGAGCUUGCUCUGUGGGAUCAGUGGCGAACGGGUGAGUAACACGUGAGCAACCUGCCCCUGACUCUGGGAUAAGCGCUGGAAACGGCGUCUAAUACUGGAUAUGUGACGUGACCGCAUGGUCUGCGUUUGGAAAGAUUUUUCGGUUGGGGAUGGGCUCGCGGCCUAUCAGCUUGUUGGUGAGGUAAUGGCUCACCAAGGCGUCGACGGGUAGCCGGCCUGAGAGGGUGACCGGCCACACUGGGACUGAGACACGGCCCAGACUCCUACGGGAGGCAGCAGUGGGGAAUAUUGCACAAUGGGCGCAAGCCUGAUGCAGCAACGCCGCGUGAGGGAUGACGGCCUUCGGGUUGUAAACCUCUUUUAGCAGGGAAGAAGCGAAAGUGACGGUACCUGCAGAAAAAGCGCCGGCUAACUACGU
rnacentral:rRNA from 1 species